rnacentral:rRNA from 1 species
CUACGGGGGGCUCCAGUGAGGAAUAUUGGACAAUGGGCGAAAGCCUGAUCCAGCAAUGUCGCGUGUGUGAAGAAGGCCACUUUGGUUGUAAAGCACUUUUACCAAGGAAGAUAAUGACUGUACUUGGUGAAUAAGUCCCGGCUAACUUCGUGCCAGCAGCCGCGGUAAUACGAAGGGGGCGAGCGUUACUCGGAAUUACUGGGCGUAAAGGGUGCGUAGGCGGAUUUGUAAGUUGCAAUUGAAAUUCCGGGGCCCAACCUCGGAGCUGGUUGCAAAACUGCAUAUCUUGAGUCUGGUAGAGGAUGAUGGAAUUUCUAGUGGAGGGGUAAAAUCCGUAGAUAUUAGAAGGAACACCAAAAGCGAAGGCAAUCAUCUGGGCCAUAACUGACGCUGAGGCACGAAAGCGUGGGGAGCAAACAGGAUUAGAUACCCCCGUAGUC